rnacentral:rRNA from 1 species
UACGUAGGGGGCUAGCGUUGUCCGGAAUCAUUGGGCGUAAAGAGCGUGUAGGCGGUCCGGUAAGUCCGCUGUGAAAGUCGGGGGCUCAACCCUCGAAUGCCGGUGGAUACUGUCGGGCUAGAGUGCGGAAGAGGCGAGUGGAAUUCCUGGUGUAACGGUGAAAUGCGCAGAUAUCAGGAGGAACACCUAUUGCGAAGGCAGCUCGCUGGGACGUAACUGACGCUGAGGAGCGAAAGCGUGGGGAGCGAACAGG